rnacentral:lncRNA from 1 species
UGACCUAAACCCUAGUCCCUAUUCUAUUUAAAGGGGGCUCCAAUCUUGGACGCCCCAUCUCAGCUCCUCUUGCUGGUUUUUAUUUUUCCAAAGUUCUUUCUCCUCUCCUCUCUUCCUCCUCCAAAUCCUCUUCGUUUGGAGUGUCCAAAGCUUUUGAAGAAGGAAGAAAUCAGCCUCCAAGAUCCUUACAAGCUAGCACUUCCAAGGAGCCUGAUCGGUGCCGGUCUUUGUGUGGACGUUCUAUAGAGGCCGGACGACUUCGUGUGACUGCGAGCAACCUGAAGG